GACGAACCGUCCAACCGUUAUUCGGAAUCACUGGGCUUACAGAGUUCGUAGGCGGUCCCAAAAGUUAGGUGUGAAAUCCCUCGGCUCAACCGAGGAACUGCGCUUAAAACUGUGGGACUCGAGGGAGAUAGAGGAAAGCGGAACUGAUGGUGGAGCGGUGAAAUGCGUUGAUAUCAUCAGGAGCACCGGUGGCGAAGGCGGCUUUCUGGGUCUUACCUGACGCUGAGGAACGAAAGCCAGGGGAGCGAACGGG
rnacentral:rRNA from 1 species